rnacentral:lncRNA from 1 species
UCGGCUGUUGUUUUAGAGUAUUGCAUUAUUCAUGAGAAGGUUAGCUAGAAUGGAACUCCCUAAUUAGAACCAUGACUUGGGUGUGAAAGCCCUUGCCCCAGGAGUGUAAAGACCUCACACCUGGCUUCUAAGAAUAUAGCUGACCUUAGAUAGAGCUGAAUUUGUUUCAGUUGUUUUAUUGCCCAGUUCCUGUCAGUCUUUGUGUUUGCAUUCCUCUGUUUUGUGUUAGAGUCACUAAGCAUCCGGUAACCUCAUUGUACCUUGCCGAUGUGUCACCUAACUUCCCUAUUUUCUUCUGUAUUAAAAGUCUGGUGCUUACUUUGAGAAAUUACAUUCAGAUACCACACUCCCUUGUGUUCAUGUCUGUUUGUCACCCUUUUCUCGAGAUUUACAAAUGGGUGGGAAGAGGAAGUUUGGAGAGGGGCCAGUGAAUGGAACAACAUGAGGCAGAGGCACACCUUGGAAGACCACAGUCCUCAUCACUACACUGCAAGCAGAUGGUACUGCAGUUGGUUAGGUUGAGAAAACAAGGGUCCAAGUCAGAAGGAAAGAGAGAGCGAGGGCAACACUCAGGGGAUGGCAGGGCCCUGAGUAUGAUGAGCAUUAUACACUCACAGUGAGGAAAGUAAGGUUGCCAAGGGCACAGAAAGCACCAAGCAAAUCGUGCAGCUUGUAUGAUAGUGUGUGGGUGCAGUAUCUGCACAUAGCUCUCAGGACCUCAGGGCCCGCCUCCAGGACACUUAGGGAAGCCCAGAUCUCUUAUGCAAGUGCUGUGAUUGCCCUACACAAACAUCCACUCAUAAACUCAACUUAUCCUUAGACGAUGUCUGAGACCCUAGACCAGUGGUUUCCAACUUGUGGGUCAUGACCCCUUUGUGGGUUUGAAUGACCCUUUCACAUGGGGCCACCUAAGACCAUCAGAAACACAGAUGUUUACAUUAUGAUUCGUGACAGUAGCACAAUUAGAGUUAUGGAGUAGCAACAAAAAUAACUUUAUGGUUGGGGGUCACCACAACAUGAGGGACUGUAUAAAAGGGUCACAGCAUGAGGAAGGUUGAGAACCACUGUCCUAGACAAUGGUAGCACUGGGUGUUGUGCUGUGCUGUGCUGCGCUGUGCUGUGCUGCGGAAGGGACAAAGAUGAGAACACAAGUGUGCACUAGUGUGCAGGACAGACAUAAUUUCCCCCGUAUGUGCACUCUGAGGAUGGUUGAGCAUGUAGAUGCAGUGUCCACAUGUGUAGAGCCCACCUGUGGGAAAACGGAAGAAAAAGUAAAGUAAGAACUGUGUCCUGGAGGGAAGAAAACCUAGGUGGGAUUUCAGUACCUCUAUUAUCUUAAUUUUCAGGAAACCCAUAUAUUAGACAUACAAAAGUGUUACUUAAAAAAUGUAAUUUUGGUAAAGAGGGCAGAGAAGGCAAAAGAAGCUGGGGCCAGAAACAGAGUCCAAACUUUGGGAAUUUGGUUAACACAGUGCCUGUGGCAGGUUGGAGACUGGGGCAUGAAGACAGAACUGGGGUUGAGAAUGUAAGACGCCCACCUGGCUCCUGUAUCCACACACCAGGCACUCUCUGUGCCCACACACCCAGGCACACACCCAAGCCCCAGACAGAUCUUUCCUGUACAGAAAGGAGGUGGACACUCUCUGAAAUGCUAUGUUCAUUUGACAGCUCCUGGGAGAUGGAGAACUGUUUUGUUUGUCUUCUUGUUUUUAUUAAUAUUGUAGGUUGGUACCCUGGUAGGCUGACUACACACCAGAGCAAGACCCAAACCCAAGACUAGCUGGGUAAUACCAACUGGUAAAGAAGGAAAAAAGUCAUUUCAAAGUUGGGUGAGAAGCAAAGGGAGGUUUGGUGAGGGUACAGUUGGGGGUGGUAAAGUAUGCUCAAAAUAAAUUGUAAGAACUUUUGAAUAAAACAUUUUUAUUAAAUAUUAAGUUAGAUGUCUUUGUUGUUGUUUUCGAGACAGGGUUUCUCUGUGUAGCCCUGGCUGUCCUGGAACUCACUUUGUAGACCAGGCUGGCCUCGAACUCAGAAAUCUGCCUGCCUCUACCUCCCGAGUGCUGGGAUUAAAGGUGUGCGUCACCACCACCCAGCAUAGAUGUCAUUUUAUAUGGACAUUGUAGACUUACAUGGUGCAGGAAAGCAACUUUAGUUUGUGC